CCGACUCCGGCCCUGCUCCGGCUCUGCUCCAGCCCGGCUCCUGCCCUGCUCCAGCCUGGCUCCCGUUCUCCUCCGCCACGCCUCUCUGUGAGCUCCGCACCCCGACUCCCGACUCCCAACUUUCGGUCCCUCUGGCGCUCAGCGUCCCGUACCCCCGUGACCUCGCGCCCUCCCAAGACCCUGUGCCCAAUCUUCUACCCCCCUCAACCCCGCCACAGUCCUCUGCCCUUUCUCUCUCGCUCUCCAACUGUCUGGACGUCAGUCGGUCUGUCUGUCCGCCUCCCCACCCUCCUUUUCCUUCCUCUGUCCCGCGUCUCUGGCUUGUUCGCUAGUUCGACUUGGCGGGGCAGCUUCGCAGGAAAAUCCCAGAAACCAUUGCAAAAAGCUUACAAUGAAAUUUAAGAAGUUCUACGAUUUCGGCGCCAUUUUCGAGUGGAGUGAGAGGUUGUUUAGCUCUUCCAGUAUGAAACUCGACGUUGGAAAAGUUUGGCUCGAAGCGAAUGACCCUCUCUAGAAGUGACCAGACGCCUCUUUGUGUUCUCCUUUCGGCGACCAUCAACGGUUUUUUUCUCCAUUAUUCCGCCGUGUCCGUGUAAAAAUGAUUUGUAAUAUAGCCAAGACAAGAUGGAAUUUAGAGACUCCAACUUAAGGAGUAGAGCUAUUAUUAUUAAUGGCUUUAUUUAUCAUGACCUUAUGGCUUUAUUAUUAGUGCAUUUGUUAGCACUGGAUCACAAUCUGUUGUGUUAGGCAUUUUGUACUUAGUUUAAUUACAUACUCUGUAUAUUUAAUUAAUCAAUUAGUUAAUAGGACCCAGAAUUCAUUGUACUAGUUUUGAAUAACGGACAUAAUUUUAAAUGAAAAUACAGGAAGUUUGGUGAGGUUGAAUCUCUGUUUAUGUAUACAAAAUGUAUUUUUACUUUCAAAGGCAGUAUAGUUUUAUUGUUUUAAUUAUUAGGCCUGUGGCUAAGGACCGAAGGAUUUUUUUGUGUGUGCUUUCUUGAAUGUUUUGUUUAAACAAAAGGAAAUGAAAUGAAUGUAACUUACUGCUCAUGUGUCCAUUUUGAGAGUCAAGAACGGGAGUGUGCACAGUGCCGGCCAUUUCAAGACACGAGUUUCUGUGGAGUUGUUCAAGAAGGAACCAUUUGACAUCAAGUAUUUAAAGCUGAUUUGUGGUUUGAUAAGUGACAUUGACAAAUGUAAAGUAUUUGUGAAUAAGUUUGAAUAACCUGCAAUGUAUGAAAACAUCUAGGGGUUUCAUCUAUAGAACAUUCUCAUGCUUAAAAUCAACUAAUGAGAAGGUGUUCACUGUAAGAGUGGAGGAAACUAUUAGACAUGAGUUAAAACCAAAGGAGCU